rnacentral:rRNA from 1 species
UACGGGGGGGCAAGCGUUGUUCGGAAUUACUGGGCGUAAAGGGCUCGUAGGUGGCCAACUAAGUCAGACGUGAAAUCCCUCGGCUUAACCGGGGAACUGCGUCUGAUACUGGAUGGCUUGAGUUUGGGAGAGGGACGCGGAAUUCCAGGUGUAGCGGUGAAAUGCGUAGAUAUCUGGAGGAACACCGGUGGCGAAGGCGGCGUCCUGGACCAACACUGACACUGAUGAGCGAAAGCGUGGGGAGCGAACAGG